rnacentral:rRNA from 1 species
AGCGAACGCUGGCGGCAGGCUUAACACAUGCAAGUCGAACGCCCCGCAAGGGGAGUGGCAGACGGGUGAGUAACACGUGGGAACGUACCCUUUGGUUCGGAAUAACUUGGGGAAACUCAAGCUAAUACCGGAUAAGCCCUUAUGGGGAAAGGUUUACUGCCGAAGGAUCGGCCCGCGUCUGAUUAGCUAGUUGGUGAGGUCAUGGCUCACCAAGGCGACGAUCAGUAGCUGGUCUGAGAGGAUGAUCAGCCACACUGGGCCUGAGACACGGCCCAGACUCCUACGGGAGGCAGCAGUGGGGAAUAUUGGACAAUGGGGGCAACCCUGAUCAAGCCAUGCCGCGUGAGUGAUGAAGGCCUUAGGGUUGUAAAGCUCUUUUACCCGGGACGAUAAUGACUGUACCGGGAGAAUAAGCCCCGGCUAACUUCGUGCCAGCCGCCGCCGUAA